rnacentral:rRNA from 1 species
AACGGCCGCGGUAUAUUGACCGUGCAAAGGUAGCAUAAUCAUUAGUCUUUUAAAAGGAGGCUGGAAUGAAAGGUUUGACGAGACAUUUACUGUCUCAGCCUUAAUUAUUAAAAUUUAACUUUUGAGUUAAAAGGCUUAAAUUUUGUUGGAAGACGAGAAGACCCUAUAGAGCUUUAUGGUUUUUUCUUUNNNNNNNNNAUUUUCUUUAUAAUUAGUUUUAUUGANUUAAACUUUUUUGUUGGGGUGACAAGAAAUAUAUAUUUAACUUUUNUUAUUUNAUAAUACAUUUAUUUAUGAUUUAUUAGAUCCAUUAUUAGUGAUUAUUAGAGUAAGUUACCUUA